rnacentral:rRNA from 1 species
UACGAAGGGGGCUAGCGUUGUUCGGAUUUACUGGGCGUAAAGCGCACGUAGGCGGGUUGUUAAGUCGGGGGUGAAAGCCUGUGGCUCAACCACAGAAUUGCCUUCGAUACUGAAGAUCUCGAGACCGGAAGAGGUAAGUGGAACUGCGAGUGUAGAGGUGAAAUUCGUAGAUAUUCGCAAGAACACCAGUGGCGAAGGCGGCUUACUGGUCCGGUUCUGACGCUGAGGCGCGAAAGCGUGGGGAGCAAACAGG